rnacentral:rRNA from 1 species
CUAACAAGGAUUCCCCUAGUAACGGCGAGUGAAGUGGGAAAAGCUCAACUUUGUAAUCUGGCAGCUUCGCUGUCCGAGUUGUAGUCUCGAGAAGUGUUUUCCGCGCGGGAAUGUGUAUGAGUCUGUUGGAAUACAGCGUCAUAGAGGGUGAGAACCCCGUUCAUGACACAACUACCUGUGCUUUGUGAUACGCUUUCGAUGAGUCGAGUUGUUUGGGAAUGCAGCUCAAAAUGGGUGGUAAAUUCCAUCUAAAGCUAAAUAUUGGCGAGAGACCGAUAGCAAACAAGUACCGUGAGGGAAAGAUGAAAAGCACUUUGGAAAGAGAGUUAAAAGUACGUGAAAUUGUUGAAAGGGAAACGCUUGAAGUCAGACGUGCACGGUACUCGUUACCACUGCAGGCUAGCAUCGGUUUCACGAGCCGGAUAAAGGUUAGAGGAAGGUGGCAGUUUCGGCUGUGUUAUAGCCUUUAACUGAAUACGGAUUGUGAGACCGAGGGACGCAGCGCGCCGCAAGGCAAAGGAUUCGUUCUUUUCGCGU